GUGGGUGUAGCUCAGUGGUAGAGCAUGUGCUUAGCAUGCACGAGGUCCUGGGUUCAAUCCCCAGUGCCUCCA
rnacentral:tRNA from 1 species